rnacentral:rRNA from 1 species
CAGUAUGGGAGUGAGAAUGUUGGCAUGAGUAGCGAGAUGUGGGUGAGAAUCCCACAGGCCGUAAACCCAAGGUUUCCAGGGGAAGGUUCGUCCGCCCUGGGUUAGUCGGGACCUAAGCUGAGGCCGACAGGCGUAGGUGAUGGACAACAGGUUGAUAUUCCUGUACUACCGAUAACCAUUUGAGAGAAGGGAUGACACAGUAGGAUAAGCUAAGCACACUGUUGGUUAUGUGUGCCCAAGCAUAGAGGCAGUCCAAGUCGGCAAAUCCGCUUUGAUACUGCUGGGGUGUGCUGGGGAGCGAAAUUUAGUAGCGAAGUAGCUGAUUUCACACUGUCAAGAAAAGUCUCUAUCGAGGUUAAAGGUACCCGUACCGCAAACCGACACAGGUGGGGGAGGAGAGUAUCCUAAGGCCAGCGAGAGAACUGUUGUUAAGGAACUCGGCAAAAUGACCCCGUAACUUAGGGAUAAGGGGUGCCACCAUCAGGUGGCCGCAGAGAAUAGGCCCAAGCGACUGUUUACCAAAAACAUAGGUUUCUGCUAAGUCGCAAGACGAUGUAUAGGAGCUGACGCCUGCCCGGUGCUGG